rnacentral:lncRNA from 1 species
CCCAGAUUUAUUUGGUGUGCCUGCUAUGUUUCACUUUCACUGUUCUUUGUUGAAUAAAUUGAGAAAUUCUUGAUUCUUUUUAUGUUAUUUCUUUACAUGAAGGAUCCAGAUUAAAAUCUAAUGUGUUAUUCUUGCUAGCUUAGUUUAAACAAAUGCAUUUUAGAUCACCUACUUCUCAGUUCAUGAUUUUUGAUUCGGUGUGUUGCGGCUGAUUACCGGAACACACUCAUAAUUUACUAAAAGAAUUUUUUUUAGUUGUUUUUGCAUAUGCCUCUUGGUAUUUACUAGGUCACCUUCGAGAUUAGUUAACUAACAUACAUAUCCUAUCUACGCUUUUCACAUCCAUAUAAUGAUGCCAUGUUUUUCCUUUUGAGUAGAUGAUUCUUUAUUUAUUAACAUAUACACCAAUAUGUUGUUUCCAUUGAUCUCAUAGUACUUUUUGUGUGUUUCUUUAUCUUGGGCUGAAAACUUAUUGUCAGUUGAAGCUAUUUUUGAAGUCAUGUAUACUAUGGAAGUUGUGUAAAAGAACAUUUACUGAAAUGUUAUGUAAAACCUAUGGCUCAAAGCUAAGCUUCGGUAAAUUGGAAUAUUUAUAGAUAUAUUUGGGAGUUUCAUUAGAUUAAUCUGGACUUUCAAACUAAUCCAUUUAAUUAUUUGAGAGCACCAGCAACACAUUUUUUUUAAAAAGAAACAUGCCCACCAAACGAAGGGCAUUGCUAUGUUGUCCAUGUAUGCAAAUCUCUAGGAAGGAGAAACCCUCAAGAACUGCUAGGAAGGAGAAAGCCCUUCACGUCUCCAAGCCUGACUAUGCCUCCGUACGUUCCCUCUUUCGAUCUGUCUCUCCCCUUCCGGUCCGUUCCAUUCCCCCCUUACAGCGCCCGUGUUCGUGUCUCCUGGCCUAACAUAUGUGCGUGUGUGGUUCUUCUGCAGCUCGCGGCGAGGAUUGUUGUGUCCAACCUGCCGCCAAGUGGCUAGCCGCCAAGUGGAAAUAGUUUGUGUGGCGCUCGUAAUUAGAGAGCAUUAUGCUAGAAAGGUACAGGAAAGAAUAGGGAAACUUCUGUCAUUUUCUUUGGUCUCGGAAAAAUAAAUGGUGAUAUGGACUGAUACAUUGCUAAAUUACAUGAUACAAACUCACUUCUCUUUUUUGAUUUUUGGUUUACUUCGUUGUGCUACAAUGGCUCUCCUAGGAAUGUUCUUCCAUGCUUUGAUGUGCACAAUCCAGAAAGUGCAUCCAUCCAGAAACCAAAUAGGAUUUUUUAUGUGUUAUCUUCUCAUAAAUCUUGUGCUCGUCCAAUAAGAAUAAGGUUUGGUGGUAUUGCUUUUGUCUGUCACCCGGUAGAUUUCAGACUUCAAGCUAGCUGCAGUUAUUUCAGGUUAUAUGUGCAAAUCCUUGGUGUGACAUGAUUGGUAACUGACCAUGAAUACCUUGCAAUCUGAUAUGUCUAAUUCUUGAUUUAUGUGAUACCAUGGUCUAAAAAUUGGUCCUAAAGAUACAUGAUGUUUUUAUACAAAGUUGAGACAGUUAUUUUUGAAUGGAGGGAGUAUUAGAUUAUUUUGUUCCUUUUUAAUUUGGUUCUAAAGAUAUAGUUUCAGAGUGAUCAUUUUGCAUCAGUCAAGCUUGCCGUUGUUACAAAUAAUUGUUCUGUUGUCCUCAAUUCACUUUCUUGGUUUUUUAAUGCUACAAGCGUUAUUGUUCCUAUUUUUUAGUUAUUGAUCAUGCCAUUUUUCUUUCUGCCUUUGUAGCUGAAAGAUUAGUGAGACUGACUAAAUUCUGAACAUGUUCCAUGUGAGAGAACUAGCAUGUUGAUUUCAUCUUGAAAUAAUCAUAGCUGGGGGACGAGGUUCGUAACUGAGGGUCAUGUGCAGAGCUGGAGGAAGAAGUUGCGAGGCUUGGAACUCUCCUUGUGAAGGGCUCAGGGACAAGAGUGAGGACUAUGCCUCUUUAGUUGUAAUUGUGAUACUCCUGAUGUGCAAGUAAACACUCAUGUGAUACUCCUUAUGCUAAAAUGUUGGUUGUUCGUACAGAGGUGGUGACAUUAUUUGGUUCUCUGGUAUUGAUUUCAUGAUUUGUGGUUAAUAUAUGACGUAAUACAAUCCACAUUGCAUUAUAUUUUCAGUUAUAUCUCCUACUUACUCACUACUAACAUUCUUUCUAAUUCGGUUCUUGCGCCAUUGGCGCAACCGGGUCAUCUAGUUACCAUUAACAUGAAAAGUGACAUUGCCUUUGUUACAAUCAAUAACAGCC